GACUGGAAGACAGAGUUUGGCGGUCCUUGAAUCACUGGAUAUGAGCUUGAUCAUCAAUAUCAUAAUAAAGCAAGUGUAAAAACAAUAUACUGUGUUGUUUUUUUCUGAGAAUUGAGAGAAAGCCUUGGGUGCAGGAAAGCAAGUGUGUGGAUGGGAUUGCUCCAGGCUGACCUGAGAAAGGUAGCAACAGAGGAAGUAAACAGAUGUUUCCGGAAGAAAAGAAUUUCCUUUGCAGUCAUUGUCCAUGUGAAUCUUUACAUUGUCCAUAGUAGAACAUGACCGUUUAUUGCUACUGUUAAAAUAGCUCUGUGAUUGUCCAAAGAGCAGUCAGGGUUCCCUGCCCUGUGGGAAGUCCAAGGUCCUUCCCCC